rnacentral:rRNA from 1 species
ACGCACGCUGGCGGCGUGCUUAACACCUGCCAGUCGAACGGAAAGGCCCUGCUUUUGUGGGGUGCUCGAGUGGCGAACGGGUGAGUAACACGUGAGUAACCUGCCCUUGACUUUGGGAUAACUUCAGGAAACUGGGGCUAAUACCGGAUAGGAGCUCCUGCUGCAUGGGGGGGGUUGGAAAGUUUCGGCGGUUGGGGAUGGACUCGCGGCUUAUCAGCUUGUUGGUGGGGUAGUGGCUUACCAAGGCUUUGACGGGUAGCCGGCCUGAGAGGGUGACCGGCCACAUUGGGACUGAGAUACGGCCCAGACUCCUACGGGAGGCAGCAGUGGGGAAUAUUGCACAAUAGGCGGAAGCCUGAUGCAGCAACGCCGCGUGCGGGAUGACGGCCUUCGGGUUGUAAACCGCUUUCGCCUGUGACGAAGCGUGAGUGACGGUAAUGGGUAAAGAAGCACCGGCUAACUACGUG